GAUGAACGCUGGCGGCGUGCCUAAUACAUGCAAGUCGAGCGAACGGACGAGAAGCUUGCUUUUCUGAUGUUAGCGGCGGACGGGUGAGUAACACGUGGAUAACCUACCUAUAAGACUGGGAUAACUUCGGGAAACCGGAGCUAAUACCGGAUAAUAUUUUGAACCGCAUGGUUCAAAAGUGAAAGACGGUCUUGCUGUCACUUAUAGAUGGAUCCGCGCUGCAUUAGCUAGUUGGUAAGGUAACGGCUUACCAAGGCAACGAUGCAUAGCCGACCUGAGAGGGUGAUCGGCCACACUGGAACUGAGACACGGUCCAGACUCCUACGGGAGGCAGCAGUAGGGAAUCUUCCGCAAUGGGCGAAAGCCUGACGGAGCAACGCCGCGUGAGUGAUGAAGGUCUUCGGAUCGUAAAACUCUGUUAUUAGGGAAGAACAUAUGUGUAAGUAACUGUGCACAUCUAGACGGUACCUAAUCAGAAAGCCACGGCUAACUACGUG
rnacentral:rRNA from 1 species